GUAGGUUCGGGUCGAACGCAGUGAGACAACGGAGCCGUUUACGGCGACGGCCCGAAGGGCGAGCGAAGCGAGUCAUCCUGCACGACCCACCA
rnacentral:sRNA from 8 species